rnacentral:rRNA from 1 species
AGCAGCCGCGGUAAUUCCAGCUCCAAUAGCGUAUAUUAAGGUUGUUGCAGUUAAAAAGCUCGUAGUUGAAUUUCGGGAUCAAUUAAUCGGUCGUACCUAUGGUACGUACUGAUUUUAUUGGUUUCUCCCUUCUGACGAACCAUGAUGUCAUUAAUUUGGUGUCGUGGAGAAUCAGGACUGUUACUUUGAAAAAAUUAGAGUGUUUAAAGCAGGCUAAUGCUUGAAUACAUUAGCAUGGAAUAAUGAAAUAGGAUGUUUGAUCCUAUUUUGUUGGUUUCUAGGAUCCACGUAAUGAUUAAUAGGGAUAGUUGGGGGCAUUAGUAUUCAAUUGUCA